GAGUUUGAUCCUGGCUCAGAUUGAACGCUGGCGGCAUGCCUUACACAUGCAAGUCGAACGGCAGCACGGGAGCUUGCUCCUGGUGGCGAGUGGCGAACGGGUGAGUAAUGCAUCGGAACGUAUCCUGGAGUGGGGGAUAACGUAGCGAAAGUUACGCUAAUACCGCAUAUUCUGUGAGCAGGAAAGCGGGGGACCUUCGGGCCUCGCGCUCUUGGAGCGGCCGAUGUCGGAUUAGCUAGUUGGUGGGGUAAUGGCUCACCAAGGCGACGAUCCGUAACUGGUCUGAGAGGAUGAUCAGUCACACUGGAACUGAGACACGGUCCAGACUCCUACGGGAGGCAGCAGUGGGGAAUAUUGGACAAUGGGCGAAAGCCUGAUCCAGCCAUGCCGCGUGUGUGAAGAAGGUCUUCGGAUUGUAAAGCACUUUAAGUUGGGAGGAAGGGCAGUAAGUUAAUACCUUGCUGUUUUGACGUUACCGACAGAAUAAGCACCGGCUAACUCUGUGCCA
rnacentral:rRNA from 1 species